rnacentral:rRNA from 1 species
UUACCGGUUUGACAUAAAAGAGAUCCGCAAGGGACAGGUGGUGCAUGGCUGUCGUCAGCUCGUGUCGUGAGAUGUUGGGUUAAGUCCCGCAACGAGCGCAACCCUAUUUAUGUUGCCAGCAUAUGGGACUCAUGAAGACCGCCGGGGUCAAUCGGAGGAAGGUGGGGAUGACGUCAAGUCCUCAUGCCCCUUAUGCCGGGCUGCAAACACGCUACAAUGGGAUACAAGGGGCUCCGCGAGGUUGGCAAUCCCAAAAUCGUCUCAGUUCGAAUUGAAGUCUGCAACUCGACUUCAUGAAGCUGGAGUUGCUAGUAAUCCCGAUCAGCACGCGGGGUGAAUACGUUCCCGGGCCUUGUACACACCGCCCGUCACACCACGAAAGUCGGAAACCGAA